rnacentral:rRNA from 1 species
GUGCCAGCCGCCGCGGUAAUACGUAGGGUGCGAGCGUUAAUCGGAAUUACUGGGCGUAAAGCGUGCGCAGGCGGUUGUGUAAGACAGGUGUGAAAUCCCCGGGCUUAACCUGGGAACUGCGCUUGUGACUGCACGGCUAGAGUACGGCAGAGGGGGGUGGAAUUCCUGGUGUAGCAGUGAAAUGCGUAGAUAUCAGGAGGAACACCGAUGGCGAAGGCAGCCCCCUGGGCCUGUACUGACGCUCAUGCACGAAAGCGUGGGGAGCAAACAGG